UGUGAAAGAUGUCAUGCUUUUGCUGAGAAUUUUAUGUUGAUAUAUGAGUUUCUCACUAGAGUUAGUUUACAUGAUAAAAAGGGAAAUAUAUGUGAAAAAUGAGUUAUAUGAAGUAUGAGGUCAUUUUGAAUGAUUGAGUGUUUUAAGCAUGAAAUUGAGAAGAGGAUUUACUUGAUACGUUGUAGAAACGUUUUCCUUGAGAUUUGAGUUAAGAUGUAAAAGAGGAGAGUUAAUUUGAGUAUGAUGAGUAUUUUAAUGUUUUUGAAUGUUUUUGAGUGUUAUAUAUGUUUAAAAUGAACUUUGAUUGGCUUUCUUUGAAGGAAUGUUAAUUUGAGCAUUUAAGAGUUGGGAAUGAAUUUUUGGUGAUUUUUCGUAGGCUACUGACCUACUGUGAUCGACGGUUUGUCGAUAUCAAAAAGCUUUGAAAAUUUUACAGAAUGUCCCUACAUGAGUCUUGAGCACCUCUGUAAAUUUGCAAGUCAUUUGGACUUGAUUUACUAUUUUUAUAAAAUGCAAAACCAAAUCUGCACAUUUCUGCCGGGAAUUUCAGAGAACAGGGGACAAAGUCAUUCAUUUCAGUGACUUCCUGUGUGAAUUAGAUUUCCAAAUGUUUAUGGUAUCAACCUUACUGUAUGGGCUAGAUAUCCACCAAAUUUGAGCGCAGUUUGACAACGUUUACUAUUUUUCAAAAAUCAAUGUUUUCGAUUGCUCAAAACUGCCGAAUAUGGUAGACCGUGGUAAAAACGCCAUAUCUCCCAAACCACUUGGAGUUUCUGACUCUACUUUUUUUUAAAUGAAACUAGACUCAAAUACCUUUCGUUUGGUAUGAGUCUGGAGUCCAGGGGAUGUCGGAGUCAGAACGUGUUAAAUUUUGAAGUUGAGUCAGUGGGAAAACAGAGCAUGUUUUGUUGAUGUUUGCUUGUAUUUUCUUAUGUGCCUUAUGUGUUUAUGUUGCCUAAGUGUUUGAAUGAGAUUAGACGAGUCUUAUAUGAGAGAUAAAUCGAGACUUAGAACCAUGAUUUUCUUGAACCCUAUCCUUGGACUUAAGGAUUUGAAAUGAGUGAAGAGUUUAUGUAGAGUUGAUUAAGAGAUAGAAUAUAAUAUAGAGCAUGAGUUGAGGCAUGAGUUUUUGUCGUUGAGUUUCUAAUCGGGAUUCAUUUUAUGACAUGAACCUUCGAUGAUGACGAUGAUCCCUGAAGACACGAGCAGAGCAAGGAAGUAAGUAACUCCACUUUGACGGGAGUUUUUGAGUAAGGUCUUCAGGCUAAGCAAGGAGUGAGAUUGGUCUGGUGCUGGUGGGGGAUCGUUAGAUGACGUAUUUACUUUAUCGUAUUUCCUUUUUAUCGAUAAAGUCUUGAUGUGAAGUUACUUUAAAUAUGAAUCAAGUAAUAUACUCACGGUUAUGUGUCUCCAUACAUGUAACUGGUUCGCCUUUUGCUGCGAUACUCUGCAUAUUAUGUUUCCUUAUGAAAAAUAAGCUAUACCUGUUUUGUUUUUGUUCGUGAAAUUCCUGAUAAUUGAAAAGUUACAACGACGUUGACGAUUUUACCCUUGGGUUCAAUUAAUGAUAUUUUCCUUAGCAUGCUUUGAUGUGAGCUUCCGCUUGAUGUUCGACCUACUCUUCUAUUCCUUUAUUCUUUAAAAAUAGUCGUAUCGAUACUCGUACCCCACUAUUACUAGUGUCGGGAUUUCGGGCUGCGACAGGGUGGUAUCAGAGCAGGUCAUCUGCUCUGAGUCUAUUGCUUGACUGAGUUGAAUCUUUGAUUACUGGUAUCUUUUUAAAUUGAGUACUAGUCUAAUUUGAAUUCUUAGGCUAGUUUGAGAGAGUCAGUUUGAAACGAAACCCCAGCACCCCAUCUCCUCCGGCUUAACGAGGUAAGAGGUUGAUGUUGUUUCUUAUUGCUUUUCUGUUAAAAGCUGAGUUUGGGUUACUAAUGAGUUAUGAAUUGUUUUGAUGACGGAAUUAUUUGAGAUGAUGGAAUCUGAUAUGAGGCAGUUGAUGUGGAAUAUGAGGAGGAAUGUUGAGGCUAGUAUAGCCGAUGCCCCACCGUACCAAACAAGGACGAGAUGCCGAGUCAUAUCGAGACAGCGAUGCAGCGAUGGUUCAGGGAGUAUAUCCCGGACGAGGAUGACACCUUGGGUGAACUUCUAGCACACUAUCACCGACGAUGGAGGAGGGCUAUUCCCUAUGGGAUCGAUGGCGCGGAGGCCAUUACGCUUUUGAUUCCACUACUGCCACCUUUGUGGCGAGACUGGGCGACAUCUUUAGUGCCCCAGUACGUAGAUACUACCUGGUUGGAGGGCAUCAGGUACGGAGACCUUAGUGGCUUCAUCGCGACGCUGAGCCACCGUUAUUUUGCUUAUGGCGAUCCGCCUUCACCGCCGUAUGGAGAGCUUGAGGGACCAGUCCAGGGAAGGGAGCUAGUUGUUGUGCCUCCACCUCUCGAGGAGCCGAUUCUGAUGGCACCUCUACCCCCAGCUGAUCCGAUUUCAG